AUGAAGCUGGCAGAGAUCCAUGCCAACCACAUGCCAGACCCACUGCUCUGCCAGGCUUACAGGGACAGGGCACAGAGCCUGAGGAGGGAACUCUCUGGGCUGGAAGAGAUGGAUGGGAGGGAAGGAGAGACAGAGGAGUGGAGAGGAGAGAUGGAGGGCAGAGGAGGAGAGAUGGAGAUGGAGGGAAGAGAAGAGACGGAGGGGAGAGGAGAAGAGACAGAAGAGAGAGGAGGAGUGACAUGUGAUACAGACCUGGAGACGAGAAACACAGACAUGGAGACUGAGCCAGAGACUGGAUACAGUGAGCAUACAGAUACUAUCCCCAAAGAGGCUAUUGACAUGGACAGUGCACGUAGCCUGAGGUUGGAGCCUGCUGGACGACAGGACAUGGAGGGGAGAGACACAGAGGGACAACACACAGGACUUGGAGACAUGGAGAGGGGAGACACAGAGGGACAACAUACAGGACUUGGCGACAUGGAGAGGGGAGAGACAGAGAUAGGACACCCAGACACUACAGAGAAACAGCAUCCAGUUACCGAAAAUAGAGAAACAGAGACUGAAUGUGGUGACUCUAUCGAUGCAGAAGCAAAUUCCAAAGAUGCUAACUGUAAGGAUAGCAGUCACACCAAUGCAGAUAGCCAUGAAGCCGAUUCUGAUGUGUUUAAAGGAGACAGAGAAACCAGUAAUUCAAAUCCAGAAAAGAUCCUCCCAGAGGCUACUCACACAGACCAAGACACUGACAGUACAGACACAAGCCCUUGUCAAGCAGACGUUGAACACAUACAGAAUGACUAUACAACAACAAGCAGUGCAUUUGUAGACACUACAAUAACAGAGGACACUGACAGUAUAGACAGAAUACCUUGUGACCCUAACAACACUGAGACUAUGCCAACAGACACAUGCAUCAAACAUAGCGAUUCAACGGCCACAGACACAGAUACAGACACACCCUACAAAGACAGCCCUACAGACAGCAGUCACACAGACACAGAUACAGACAUAGACUCCUCUCAAAGACAGACACAGAGGUAA
rnacentral:lncRNA from 8 species